AUGCAUUUGCAUCUAGUGCAGGAAGUGCACAAAGUUACGCCUUUAUAAGAUAUGAUGUGUGAGACCUGUAGGGAAUGCGUUGGAGAUCAAACUCUGUAAAAUCCC
rnacentral:sRNA from 18 species